UCAAUCGUCCAACUUUCGAUAAAGUUGCAAAAAAAGUAAAUAAAAAACAAAAUCUUGUACAUAGUCCCAUUCAAAUCAAAAUCACAAGAUCCAUGAUUUGGCAACGUUGCAUACUUGUUCCAUGCUGUUCUCUAUUGUUCUUGUUUUUACCGGCAUUUUUCGUCCGUCUUUUUUGCCGGCGUCCGCUCUUGAAAUUGUGUUUCAAGAAAUUCGUAAUUAAUUGGUUAAAGUUGUUUAAAAUUUAGUUAUUUGAGUAAUUAUGGUGUUAAUGUAUCGGUUAGUCGUCGAAAAAUGCUUCGCGAGUCUGUUUUUCUCAUCGAGUAUUGGUAAGUGACGAUUCGAUGGCGGUCCCAUCUUAUUACAUAGCAGAGGUAUGGUUUUGUCUCACGUUUAUGCGUAUAAUUAUGAUUUCCUUCGUUGUUUGAGUAAUUUUUGUUACAAUGUAUCAGUUACUCGUUGAAAAAUGAUUCGCGAGUCUGUUCUUUUCAGCGAAUAUUAGUAAGUAGUGACGAUUCGGUGGUGGUUCCAUCGAAACACAUGGCAGAGCUAUGGCUUUGUCUCACGUUUAUGCGUAAAUUAUGAUUCCCUUCGUUAUUUGAGUAAUUUUUGUUUCAAUGUAUCUGUUAGUCGUCGAAAUAUGCUUCACGAGUCUGUUCUCGUUCAAAUAAUAUUGGUAUGUGACGAUUCGAUGGUGUUUCCAUUGAAACACAUGGCAGAGCUAUGGUUUUGGCUCACGUUAUUGCGUACCUACUUAUAUAUUAUGACCGCCGAUUGUGUUUGGUCGGUGUUUUACCGAAGCAAUUAUUUGUCGGUAAUGAAUGCGUUCAAAUAAGAAUUGAAAUUUUCAUGAAUAAAUCUAUGUCGGAAAAAACUAUUCCCAAGACGGCGAAUAGGUACUCAAAAGUACAAAACCAAGACGUACCUACACGAAACUGAAAAAGUACAAUGUUUUUCACCUGAAAUGGAAUGGUCAACUCUUAGUGAAGUUUUUCGCUUUUUUUUUAUUUUUUUACUGUGGAAAGAAGUUUAGGUAGGUACUCAAGUUCGUCUUUCGUGGACGAAUCUGAUUACCUUGAAUGUUGCACUCAGCCCAAUCAUCAAAUAUGACGAUUUUUGCAUGAAUAUCCGAUAUUUGCCUAUAAGUUUAUUUGGCCGGAAAUGGGGAAAGUCAGAAAGUGAAAGAGAAAAGUAUCUACAUUUAGUGCCCUUGAAACUGGCAACGAUGCAUGUAUAAUUUCGUUGUUAGGUUAGCAAUCAAUGUUGCCAACCACGGAACUCGCGAAACAUAAAUUGCUGCGAUUUGCUCCAUCCCCUCUCCUCUAAUCCUCUUAGCUCAAGGUGAUGAAAAAUGAUUGUUCUUGUCCUUCGAAAACUUGGAAAUGAGUACAUUGCAUAAGUAGCUUGAAAAUAUUAAGUAUCUAGUAUCUAUCUUGCAAUAAUUUCAGUCAUUCUCAAACUUCGAUGUUGUAUUAUAUACUCUACUCUUGAAUAUUGAAAGGAUAGAAAUUCGUAUUCGUAUGGAUAUUAUAUGUAUCACUAGGCAUCGAUUCAGUUUCGAAAAUAGAAAAAUAAACUUCGACUACUUAGAUACUUAUCUUACUUUUAUGUGCAAAAUUGUGCAGGAUGGGAUGGUACAUACUACAUAGUUACAGGGUGCCCAGAAAUAUCGUGAACCGCUAAAAAAAGUUUUCUGCUAAAUAUUUCGGUUGGUCACAGUGAAUGGUAAUAAUGAUUGCUCAUAAUUGGUUGUUUGACUGGAGAGAACGUUCCACUCCACCUAUCAUAUGCAUCUAUUUCACGUUGCCAACCUAAUAUUUUUAAUGAAAAACUUUCUUUGGGGUUCACGAUAUUUCUGGGCACCCUGUACUUGUAUUUAGGUAUGUUGUAUUAUUUCGCUGAAAGAAGACGUACUCUUAUCUUUCGGAUUCGUCCAUCGUUGUACAUUUAUUGCGUAGUUGAAAAGUGAACACUAUCUUUUAAUUCUCAGAAUUCAUUCUAGGUUCCAGGCGACAGAUAGGCGGCCAACGUAGACUGCAAAGAUAACACUACUCUUGAAGGAUAAAUCGUUCGGUUCGGUACUAAUCCUGUUUCGUCUUGUCGUUUGGUUAAGUUUUGUUUCGUUUCGUUUUGCCUUUUGCCUUCAGUGUGAAGUAGAUCAUCGUAUCGUGGUCGACUCGUAUCGUGAUAUUGUAAUCGUAUGCGGUCGUCAGCAAGUUUUCGUUUGCUGCAGUCUUCUUCGAGAACUAUGCUUUUUGAAAAUUCGUGAUCAACUCGAGAUGUUCGCGUGUAAGUGCGAAGCGAAUUUUGCGAAAAUUUAUUCGAGUAAUUUUUUUUGUCGAGUGGAGAUUUGCAAGUCGCGAUCGUGAUAAUGUUUUGUUCGGUUUUUUCACCCGCACUCCAGUGUUCCAGUAUGCUGCAAAGUGACCAAUUUUCGUCGAGUUGCUGUGGUAUUCAAACUUCGAAGUAUCUUCAAGAAUCAGAUGGUAGAAUAGAAAAGAACAGAAAGAAGAAAUGCGACCUGAUUUGAUAACGACUUGUAUAGUCUUCAGCUGUAUUCUGAUCGUCAACGAUGCCGUUGUGUACAACAGUCAAACUGGUGAGUAAAUUAAAACUUUUCAUUGUAUUCUUGGAUCUCGAAGUGUUCUUCUUGAAUUUGAUGAAAAAAAUUCGCUCCAUGUAAGUUAUUAAAACCUUUUAUUUAAUUUUUAAGAAUUAUGUUGCAAUGCCAGAGAAGAUUAGGUGAUUUUCGAAGGAUUUUUUUUUUUUAAAAUAUUGUUUUGGUUUCAAAGAAGCCAAUCGGAAUCAGCGAUUGAAAUAUUAUUGGAUGUUUACUUUUUGUUUUGUUCAAAUUGCAUUUGAAUGGCAAAAUUGAUUAAUUUUUUAAGAAGUUUCAAAUCAUAGCCAAGUACUUUCAACCCCCAGCAGUUGUUUGAUUAGAAAUGGAAAUUUUAGCUCUGUACGUAUUCAUCAUAAAUCUUCGCAAUUUUGAAUUUUUAAAUGGCAAUAAAUUUAUGAAUUUUCAGUUCAUAGCCAAUCUACAAACAGUAUUUCGACACAAAAGGCAAUAUCAGCAAUUACUGUUUAUCAAAACAAAACCAAAAGUACUGAUUCGGAAUUUAAUUUUUAAUGUUUUUUUAUUCAUGUACGAAUGAUUUUAUUUCAUUCGAUGUUCCAAUUUACGAGAAAUUCAUUCGACUCCAUUUCAACAAAAGUAGUUGGUCUACUGGUCUAGGUACAUUCUAUGUACUUUAUAAAUAUAAGGUAUAAAAAAAGAUCAAAAAAUAAAAAAUAGCUUCAAGUUGAUAUUUAAAAGCAAAUCUUAAGCAACCAAUGCAACCAUCAACCAAUAUGGUGAAGCAAAAUGCAAAAACUAUCUUGCAAUCAGCGAAUAGCUGAUGGCUCGUUCAGGUUUGAGAAAGAUAUCGUGGAGUAUUUUUCACUUCGUUUUUAUCAGCCAACAACUUUAGGGUUCCGCCAAUUAAAAUCGAAAACAGAACGAGUAUUUUCAGUAUUAUUGUUUUGAAAGUUUGUUUUAAGGUCAAAUAAUUCGAAUGCCUGUUGCGAUUUGCGAAUAUUUGUUUCGUAAAUAUUUUUAUACCUAAAUAUUUUAUGAAAAUGCUGCCAAAAUGCGGACCAUAUAAAUUUGGAAAAUAAUUUCAAAUAUUCACAAUAAUAUACAAUAUACCUACAUAUUAACUUUCUUUUCUUUUUUCAUUUUCUUUGCCACGAUGUAAAAGAAAAGAAAACCAAAAAACUAAAGUCUGAAUUGAAUAAUAAUUUUUUCAAAUUUUUGAAUUUUUGAGAAAAUCUUGUUAACAUAACGAUUUUUGGUUUGUAUUUAUUCCUGUGUGUGGUGAAACACAGAAAUGGUCAACAUUGCUGCAAAAAUAUCAAGUUGAACAAAAAUAUUCUGAGCACAAAACCUCCCCAUUCGGUUUAUUAUGUACUUGCUGCCAAGCAAACAUUUUCAAUUUUGUCCCCUUCUCUAGGUAUAUCUACUCAAUUUAUCCAUUAUCUCUCACCUAAUUGUUUUCCAUUAUACAUAAUUAUAGUUUUUUUCCACUUUAAUUUUGAUCGAAAAAAAAUUAAUCACUUUGGUUAGGUAUAUAAAAAAUUCUCCGAAAAAAAAGAAUUUUUUUAUCUUAAUCUGAGGAACCUUUUCGCCAGGUCUCCCGGACCUCGCUUGUUUUUUUCUAUUUUGAAAUAAAUUUAUCAUGUCACAAAGGAGUUCUUGUUUGAGAACAAAAAAAAAAAAAAAAAUUGAACGCAUUACGCAUUCAACUAUUGCGCAUUGAAGCAGUCGAAGCAUCCAACUGGCAAGAAGCAGAUGCAAAAACUAUCUUGUAAUCAGCGAAUAGCUGAUGGCUUGUUUUUUUAACAUAAUGUGCCACUGAUUUAUGUUUGCUGGUACAUAUAAUAAUGUAUGCCUACUUCAGUAACGUCAGACCAUUUUAAGCAUUUCUUAGAAAUUCGUUGACUUAUUUUGUUAAAUUUGAAUAACUUUGUGAAUUCCAUUCUACAGAAUAAUUUCUUUUUUUUUGGUUAUAUGUAGUACCCAUUAAGGCUCAUUGUUGGAAAAAUGAUUCUAAAAAAAAUGUUUCCAACAUUUUGUGCAAUGUUGGAGCCUCUUUAAUUGGCUUGAUUUUCUUCUGAAUUUUCAUCUUCAAUAUUCCAGAAGCAGAUAGGGCCAGAGUAAGAAAAUCUGAAUCUCGGUUUAUAUACUAGAGUAUAUCCUCCCUCCCUCCCUCCCUCCCCAAAAAAUCGUUUGGCGCUAUUUUCAAUCCGAUCAGGAGCCUCUGGCAAAAUUCAAUUUUUCUUCAUAAAUUUCAAAUCGCUGCAGAAGGCUUUGUAAUCAACUUGGGUUGCUGAAAACUUCACCUUACCAUAAGUUUGACAUUCUAAAUCGAUUAUGGCUGGUGAAUCGAAAAUCCAAAAUAGACUAGUGGAAAAGUGUAUUUUUUGCAAGUUGGAAAGUCUC